UACGUAGGGACCAAGCGUUGUUCGGAAUUACUGGGCGUAAAGCGCACGUAGGCGGAUACUUAAGUUAGGGGUGAAAUCCAGGGGCUCAACCCCGGAACUGCCUUUAAUACUGGGUAUCUCGAGUUCGAGAGAGGUGAGUGGAAUUCCGAGUGUAGAGGUGAAAUUCGUAGAUAUUCGGAAGAACACCAGUGGCGAAGGCGACUCACUGGACACGUAUUGACGCUGAGGUGCGAAAGCGUGGGGAGCAAACAGG
rnacentral:rRNA from 1 species